CGUUCUCACCGUAGCAUAACCCAGAGCAUCUCUCUCCUCUCGCCGGCGACGCUCUCUCUCUCAUCCGAUCUCCACUUUCCGGCCGUCUCCAGCCUCCGCACCACCACAGAAAGGUUUCUCCCCUGCUGUAAAGAAAAACCCCGGUGGUUGUCAUCGUUUUAUCCGCCUCAUCUGGCCGGAAAAAGACCGCGAUCGUCGGCUGCCACCGAAGCUUCAAGUCGUCGAUUCUCGCUCAUCAGCCAUCAACGACCGUCAAGACCACCACCAUAAGAAUCCUCGACAUCAGAUCUACCAGGAUCGACCAUCGGUUGUCCAGAAAUAUCGCCGGAAAAUCUCCCCGCCGCCAACAGUAGCCGCGCGUGUGCCACACGCGCCGCCAGUGGCAUUUUCGUAAUUUUCAGAGAAAUUCGAGGGUAUUUCAGUAUUUUACCUAUACAGUGACACUCAAGUAAUUUUUUGGGUUUCUGCUGGUAUUUUUGAUAUUUUUUUUAUAUAUAAAUGCUUGUAAACUUUCUUGCAUGUUGUAAAAAAAUACAAAAACCAAAGUCGACACGUCUCUUUUUUUAAAAAGGACCGAUGUCAAAAAUGUAAAUACCAA
rnacentral:lncRNA from 1 species